CUUAACUCAAAUGCUAUAACUGGUUCAAAGGACAAUCCGAAGAACACAUUUAAUGAUUAGGAAUACUGAUAUAAACUUGCUAAUGGACAAAAAAUAUUGGCUUUCCUACAAGGUAGGAAGCAUUCCCUCUACCAGACAGAAUUCAUUUCCUGCCCACAGACAAGCGCGUUUGCAUUGCCAGCAGCUAUUUACAACUUAUGAAGCUGUAAAACAGCUCCCAAGCAAUGAAGGCUGCAAGCAGAUAAGGUGGCAGGCCGUGAGCAGGCCUCAAAUGGAGUUUUACAGUGAAGCACAAAUGUUCCCCUACAGAACCCAAGAUGUCUCUUUAAAAGAAAUCAUGAAAGAAGAGGGGAUUAAGUGGAGCUUAUGGACUGCUCCAGGGUUAAGUGGCCUCCAAAAUAAACAACAGGACUGCUCAGUAGUCAGAGUGAAUUUUGGGUGGGGUUUGAAAGAGUUCCAGCUUUCCUCUGCUAAUGGUGACAUAAAAUGUUCAUUUCAUACCCAUGCAUAUACACUGAUGUAUACAUGUAGUUGAGGAGGCAGUGGCAGAAGCCAGAAGGCUUUCUCUGCCAUGAGCUCCUCCUAGGAGCCCUGGGUUGCAGAGGGUGAGGACUGCUAGGAAAGUCCGUCAGUUAAGGCCGAAGGGACAUUAGCUUUGCCUUAAACCACAUUGGCUGUGCUUGCCUUUGUGUCUUCACCUGAUUUAAUGGGUUUUAGCUCACACUCUCCGAAUCUAUUUACCUCCAAGUCAGUUAAGGCAGACUGUACUGUUGACAAAGCUAAGCAGAACAGAAUUUCCCCAUGGCUUCUAGCUUCAAGGAAUCCCAGCUAUUUAUCCAUCACCAAGAAAUGAAGCCCCAUGGGUGGCUGACGGUUCAUUUACUCCAGCCCAGGGUGUUGGAUUUCAAUUAGUGCAUUCGCUUUUCCCUCUAGGCAGAGCUCACCCUUUAAAGUCGCUCCUUGGCCUGCUAACUGUCUUAAGAUGCACUUUCCCAUCUCAACAAUGAUACAGGACGUGUCUUACAGGGCUGUAGUUCUCAUUCACAGCAUUCUUCCUCUGAGUGGUCCAGGAAAUACUCGCAGGCCUUACAGUCAAGUCACCUUAGAUUUAAAGUACGGAAUACGCGAAACCUUCCUAACUGGUAAAGCGCUCAGUAAUGCAAGCUCUGGGUGCAACUCAGUGGUUCUUAGUAUAGUCAGAGUUAUGCGAUCAUCAGCACAAUCUACUCACACCCUCCUCGAGGUAUUAAAUAAAUAUUUCAGAAUCCACAAUGCAGCCAAUCUCAUCAAUAACUUUACUGAAUCCUGUAGCCCAGCACUCAGGGGUUCUCUAAAACCCUGCCCCGCCUUCCCCUCCAAUUGCGGUGCCCACUGUCUCUUUUAAAUAGACUCUGUCCUCAUCAAGCCUGUUCUCUGUCCCCCAAAUAUGCCGUAUCAUUCCUUAAUGCAUGCAUUUUUUCCCCAGUUCCCUACAAUCUUAUAAUUAGUGGUUACGCUAAUCUAUAUGUGUGUUUAAACUCAUAGAAUUGUAUACAAAAAAGUCAACUGUACUGUGUACACACAUUUAAAAGAUAAAAUGUGUUCUUUUAACGCUU
ensembl:lncRNA novel transcript